ACGCGGUGAAUACGUUCCCGGGCCUUGUACACACCGCCCGUCAAGCCAUGGAAGCUGGGGGUACCUAAAGUAUGUAACCGCAAGGAGCGUCCUAGGGUAAAACCGGUAACUGGGGCU
rnacentral:rRNA from 1 species